rnacentral:lncRNA from 10 species
CCUCGGGGCUGUAACAUAAGCGGCUGCGGACUUGUACAAACAGCCUCAGCACCCCCUGGGAGCUCGAGACAUCUAAGGAGUUGACUGAGGCCCCUCCCUGACAUACUGAAGCGGAAUCUGCAUUUUAGCAAGAUCUGCAGGCAUGUGUGGGCCAUUGCAGCCUGAAUUAAUCAGGAGGGAAGAAGAAGUGCGACGAUAACUGGCCAGUGAUACACAGUGGGAGGUCUGGAAGAAUGCACACCCAAUGCUCACAGAGGUUCCAUCUGGGAAAUCGGAUUGGACAGGGCCAGAAUAGAUCCGGGGAAACAUUCACUGAAUAUAUAUACUUAUGUAUUGUGGAAGCUUUGAUGGUGGUCAUGUACCCAAGAAGGGAAAAAACAGACUGCGGAACUGCCCAUGAGGCCAAGCACCUAUUAGUAGACCAAGAAGCAUCACCCAUCCAUGGCCUAAGUCGGCAGCCAGCUAUUGUUCUCAUCUGAGUCUGGGAGUUCAGGAUUUCCAUCCUGACCCGGCUACUUUCUUUCAACAGUUACCCACUGUAAAUUUCCGAAUACUUUCAGCUACUAAUCCCAGUGUACCCAAUUAAAAAUGGCUUUCCUAA